AUGACAAGACCAGAGAAUUUGGUAGGCCUUGGAUUCCGGGACAUAGAAGUCUUUAAUCUGGCCUUAUUGUCAAGACAGGUCUGGAGAGUCAUGAAUGAGCCAUCAACAUUAAGUGCCAGAAUUCUUAAAGCCGUAUUCUUCCCCAAUUGCUCUAUUCUGGGAGCAGAGUUGGCGUCACACCCCUCCUAGAUAUGGUGUGCCAUCUUGGAUGGGAGGGAUAUUGUCAAGCAGGGUGCAAUCCGAAGGAUUGGAGAUGGAGCUUCAACGAGUAUAUGGUCACAGAAUUGGAUACCUAGGAUCGGGUGA
rnacentral:rRNA from 1 species